GGAUUAGUGGUGUAGUGGUAACAUAAUCGCCUUCCAUUCUUCAAUGUGAGCGAUUGCUGUGGGUUCGAUUCCCGCCUAAUUCA
rnacentral:tRNA from 1 species